rnacentral:tRNA from 1 species
GCCCAGGUGGCGAAACAGGUAGACGCAAGGGAUUUAAAAUCCCUCGGAGCUUAUCCCUCCAUGCCGGUUCGAUUCCGGCCCUGGGCACCA